AUUCCAGCUCCAAUAGCGUAUACUAAAGUUGUUGCAGUUAAAAAGCUCGUAGUUGAAUUUCUGGAUGCGAAAGAUGGUCGGCACCUCACGGUGUCUGCACCUAUCAUUCGCGUUCAUCCUCGGGAGGAACGUGUGGUCUCUUUAGUGAGCCCGCUCGGGAAUCUCGUCAUUUACUGUGAGCAAAAUAAAGUGUUCAAAGCAGGCUUAUGCCGUUGAAUAUAUUAGCAUGGAAUAAUAAGAUACGACUUUGGUCUAUUUUGUUGGUUUGCAUUCCAAAGUAAUGAUUAAUAGGGAUAGUUGGGGGUAUUCGUAUUCAAUUGUCAGAGGUGAAAUUCUUGGAUUUAUGGAAGACGAACUACUGCGAAAGCAUUUACCAAGGAUGUUUUCAUCA
rnacentral:rRNA from 1 species